GCCCCGAUGGCUCAGUUGGCUAGAGCGCAGGUCUCAUACUCCGUAUGACUGUAUCUUCACAUACAGGCAAUCCUGAGGUCGCAAGUUCGAGCCUUGCUCGGGGCA